UAGGCGAUGGAUAACAGGUUGAUAUUCCUGUACCACCUAUAAUCGUUUUAAUCGAUGGGGGGACGCAGUAGGAUAGGCGAAGCGUGCGAUUGGAUUGCACGUCUAAGCAGUAAGGCUGAGUAUUAGGCAAAUCCGGUACUCGUUAAGGCUGAGCUGUGAUGGGGAGAAGACAUUGUGUCUUCGAGUCGUUGAUUUCACACUGCCGAGAAAAGCCUCUAGAUAGAAAAUAGGUGCCCGUACCGCAAACCGACACAGGUAGUCAAGAUGAGAAUUCUAAGGUGAGCGAGCGAACUCUCGUUAAGGAACUCGGCAAAAUGACCCCGUAACUUCGGGAGAAGGGGUGCUCUUU
rnacentral:rRNA from 1 species